CUGUCGCCAAGUGGUAAGGCAAUGGAUUCUGACUCCAUCAUGCGCAGGUUCAAAUCCUGCCAG
rnacentral:tRNA from 1 species